UACGCAGGGCCCAAGCGUUAUCCGGAUUUAUUGGGUUUAAAGGGUGCGUAGGCGGGUUAUUAAGUCAGUGGUGAAAGCCUUCAGCUUAACUGAAGAAUUGCCAUUGAUACUGAUGAUCUUGAGUAUGAUUGAGGUGGGCGGAAUGUGUCAUGUAGCGGUGAAAUGCUUAGAUAUGACACAGAACACCGAUUGCGAAGGCAGCUCACUAAGUCAUAACUGACGCUGAUGCACGAAAGCGUGGGGAGCAAACAGG
rnacentral:rRNA from 1 species